GGAUACCGAUUGGAAACGAUCGUUAAUACCGCAUAACAUAAUUGAACCGCAUGAUUUGAUUAUCAAAGAUUUAUCGCUGAAAGAUGAGCUCGCGUCUGAUUAGCUAGUUGGUAAGGUAACGGCUUACCAAGGCGACGAUCAGUAGCCGGACUGAGAGGUUGAUCGGCCACAUUGGGACUGAGACACGGCCCAGACUCCUACGGGAGGCAGCAGUGGGGAAUAUUGCACAAUGGAGGAAACUCUGAUGCAGCGAUGCCGCGUGAGGGAAGAAGGUUUUAGGAUUGUAAACCUCUGUCUUCAGGGACGAAAAAAGACGGUACCUGAGGAGGAAGCUCCGGCUAACUACGUGCCAGCAGCCGCGGUAAUACGUAGGGAGCGAGCGUUGUCCGGAAUUACUGGGUGUAAAGGGAGCGUAGGCGGGAUCGCUAGUCAGAUGUGAAAACUAUGGGCUUAACCCAUAAACUGCAUUUGAAACUGUGGUUCUUGAGUGAAGUAGAGGUAAGCGGAAUUCCUAGUGUAGCGGUGAAAUGCGUAGAUAUUAGGAGGAACAUCAGUGGCGAAGGCGGCUUACUGGGCUUUAACUGACGCUGAGGCUCGAAAGCGUGGGGAGCAAACAGGAUUAGAUACCCUGGUAGUCCACGCCGUAAACGAUGAUUACUAGGUGUGGGGGGACUGACCCCUUCCGUACCGCAGCAAACGCAAUAAGUAAUCCACCUGGGGAGUACGACCGCAAGGUUGAAACUCAAAGGAAUUGACGGGGGCCCGCACAAGCAGUGGAGUAUGUGGAUUAAUUCGAAGCAACGCGAAGAACCUUACCAGGUCUUGACAUCGUAUGCAUAGCUCAGAGAUGAGUGAAAUCUCUUCGGAGACAUAUAGACAGGUGGUGCAUGGUUGUCGUCAGCUCGUGUCGUGAGAUGUUGGGUUAAGUCCCGCAACGAGCGCAACCCUUACUGUUAGUUGCUACGCAAGAGCACUCUAGCAGGACUGCCGUUGACAAAACGGAGGAAGGUGGGGAUGACGUCAAAUCAUCAUGCCCCUUAUGACCUGGGCCUCACACGUACUACAAUGGCUGUCAACAGAGGGAAGCAAAGCCGCGAGGUGGAGCGAACCCCUAAAAGCAGUCUUAGUUCGGAUUGUAGGCUGCAACCCGCCUACAUGAAGUCGGAAUUGCUAGUAAUCGCAGAUCAGCAUGCUGCGGUGAAUACGUUCCCGGGCCUUGUACACACCGCCCGUCACGCCAUGGGAGUCGGUAACACCCGAAGCC
rnacentral:rRNA from 1 species